rnacentral:rRNA from 1 species
GACGUAGGGUGCAGGCGUUAAUCGGAAUUACUGGGCGUAAAGCGUGCGCAGGCGGUUUGCUAAGUCAGGUGUGAAAUCCCCGGGCUUAACCUGGGAACUGCGCUGGUAACUGGCAAGCUAGAGUGUGGCAGGGGAGGGUGGAAUUCCACGUGUAGCAGUGAAAUGCGUAGAGAUGUGGAGGAACACCGAUGGCAAAGGCAGCCCUCUGGGCGAACACGGACGCUCAUGCACGAAAGCGUGGGGAGCAAACAGG